rnacentral:rRNA from 1 species
UACGGAGGAGGCAAGCGUUAUCCGGAUUUACUGGGCGUAAAGAGCGCGCAGGCGGCCAAGUCAGUCGAAUGUGAAAGCCCCCGGCUUAACUGGGGAGGGUCAUUCGAUACUGCUCGGCUCGAAGACAGGAGAGGGAAGUGGAAUUCCCGGUGUAGUGGUGAAAUGCGUAGAUAUCGGGAGGAACACCAGUGGCGAAGGCGACUUUCUGGCCUGUUCUUGACGCUGAGGCGCGAAAGCUAGGGGAGCAAACGGG